rnacentral:rRNA from 1 species
UAGGGUACAAUAGGGCGAAAGCCUGAUCCAGCCAUGCCGCGUGUGUGAAGAAGGUCUUCGGAUUGUAAAGCACUUUAAGUUGGGAGGAAGGGCAGUUACCUAAUACGUAUCUGUUUUGACGUUACCGACAGAAUAAGCACCGGCUAACUCUGUGCCAGCAGCCGCGGUAAUACAGAGGGUGCAAGCGUUAAUCGGAAUUACUGGGCGUAAAGCGCGCGUAGGUGGUUCGUUAAGUUGGAUGUGAAAUCCCCGGGCUCAACCUGGGAACUGCAUUCAAAACUGACGAGCUAGAGUAUGGUAGAGGGUGGUGGAAUUUCCUGUGUAGCGGUGAAAUGCGUAGAUAUAGGAAGGAACACCAGUGGCGAAGGCGACCACCUGGACUGAUACUGACACUGAGGUGCGAUAGCGUGGGGAGCAAACAGGAUUAGAUACCCUGGUAGUCCACGCCGUAAACGAUGUCAACUAGCCGUGGGGAGCCUUGAGCUCUUAGUGGCGCAGCUAACGCAUCAAGUCGACCGCCCUGGGGAGUACGGCCGCAAGGGUNAAAACUCAAAUGAAUUGACGGGGGGCCCGCACAUGCGGUGGAGCAUGUGGUUUCUUUCGAGGCACCGCGAGGAACUUACCAGGCAUGACAUCNAUGAACUUGCAGAGAUGAUGGUGCCUCGGCACAUGAGACAGGUGGCGCAUGCUGUCGUAGCUCGUGUCGUGAGAUGUGGGUUAAGUCCGNACGAGNCGACCCUGUUCCUAGUUACAGCACGUAUUGGUGGACCUAGGAACUGCGGUAUACGGAGAAGGUGCAUCGAAGAAUAUGCCUAGCGGCUCCCGUCAAGUGCAGGGCACCGAGUACACUNACAAAUCGCUUGCCUAGU